rnacentral:rRNA from 1 species
GAAACCGUGUACGUACAAGCAGUGGGAGCACCUUCGUGGUGUGACUGCGUACCUUUUGUAUAAUGGGUCAGCGACUUAUAUUUUGUAGCAAGGUUAACCGUAUAGGGGAGCCGUAGGGAAACCGAGUCUUAACUGGGCGAAUAGUUGCAAGGUAUAGACCCGAAACCCGGUGAUCUAGCCAUGGGCAGGUUGAAGGUUGGGUAACACUAACUGGAGGACCGAACCGACUAAUGUUGAAAAAUUAGCGGAUGACUUGUGGCUGGGGGUGAAAGGCCAAUCAAACCGGGAGAUAGCUGGUUCUCCCCGAAAGCUAUUUAGGUAGCGCCUCGUGAACUCAUCUUCGGGGGUAGAGCACUGUUUCGGCUAGGGGGCCAUCCCGGCUUACCAAACCGAUGCAAACUCCGAAUACCGAAGAAUGUUAUCACGGGAGACACACGGCGGGUGCUAACGUCCGUCGUGAAGAGGGAAACAACCC